rnacentral:rRNA from 1 species
GGAAAAGAAAUCAACCGAGAUUCCGAUAGUAGCGGCGAGCGAAAUCGGAACAGCCCUUAAGCUUAUUAUGUGUUAAUGGAAGGCUCUGGAAAGUGCCACGAUACAGGGUGAUAGUCCCGUACAUGAAAACGCAUUUUAAGUGAAAUCGAGUAGGUCGGAGCACGUGAAACUUUGACUGAAUAUAGGUGGACCAUCAUCUAAGGCUAAAUACUCCCAACUGACCGAUAGUGAACCAGUACC